UUAAGCGACUAAGCGUACACGGUGGAUGCCCUGGCAGUCAGAGGCGAUGAAGGACGUGCUAAUCUGCGAAAAGCGCCGGCGAGGUGAUAUGAACCCUUGACCCGGCGAUGUCCGAAUGGGGAAACCCAGUGUGUUUCGACACACUAUCGUUAACUGAAUACAUAGGUUAACGAGGCGAACCGGGGGAACUGAAACAUCUAAGUACCCCGAGGAAAAGAAAUCAACCGAGAUUCCCCCAGUAGCGGCGAGCGAACGGGGAGCAGCCCGGAGUCUGAAUCAGCUUGUGUGUUAGUGGAACGGUCUGGAAAGUCCGACGGUACAGGGUGAUAGUCCCGUACACGAAAAUGCACAGGUUGUGAACUCGAAGAGUAGGGCGGGACACGUGGUAUCCUGUCUGAAUAUGGGGGGACCAUCCUCCAAGGCUAAAUACUCCUGACUGACCGAUAGUGAACCAGUACCGUGAGGGAAAGGCGAAAAGAACCCCGGCGAGGGGAGUGAAAAAGAACCUGAAACCGUGUACGUACAAGCAGUGGGAGCACCUUCGGGUGUGACUGCGUACCUUUUGUAUAAUGGGUCAGCGACUUAUAUUCUGUAGCAAGGUUAACCGUAUAGGGGAGCCGAAGGGAAACCGAGUCUUAACUGGGCGUUAAGUUGCAGGGUAUAGACCCGAAACCCGGUGAUCUAGCCAUGGGCAGGUUGAAGGUUGGGUAACACUAACUGGAGGACCGAACCGACUAAUGUUGAAAAAUUAGCGGAUGACCUGUGGCUGGGGGUGAAAGGCCAAUCAAACCGGGAGAUAGCUGGUUCUCCCCGAAAGCUAUUUAGGUAGCGCCUCGUGAACUCAUCUUCGGGGGUAGAGCACUGUUUCGGCUAGGGGGCCAUCCCGGCUUACCAACCCGAUGCAAACUACGAAUACCGAAGAAUGUUAUCACGGGAGACACACGGCGGGUGCUAACGUCCGUCGUGAAGAGGGAAACAACCCAGACCGCCAGCUAAGGUCCCAAAGUCAUGGUUAAGUGGGAAACGAUGUGGGAAGGCACAGACAGCCAGGAUGUUGGCUUAGAAGCAGCCAUCAUUUAAAGAAAGCGUAAUAGCUCACUGGUCGAGUCGGCCUGCGCGGAAGAUGUAACGGGGCUAAACCAUGCACCGAAGCUGCGGCAGCGACACUAUGUGUUGUUGGGUAGGGGAGCGUUCUGUAAGCCGUUGAAGGUGUGCUGUGAGGCAUGCUGGAGGUAUCAGAAGUGCGAAUGCUGACAUAAGUAACGAUAAAGCGGGUGAAAAGCCCGCUCGCCGGAAGACCAAGGGUUCCUGUCCAACGUUAAUCGGGGCAGGGUGAGUCGACCCCUAAGGCGAGGCCGAAAGGCGUAGUCGAUGGGAAACAGGUUAAUAUUCCUGUACUUGGUGUUACUGCGAAGGGGGGACGGAGAAGGCUAUGUCAGCCGGGCGACGGUUGUCCCGGUUUAAGCAUGUAGGCGGAGGUUCCAGGUAAAUCCGGUACCUUUUAACGCUGAGGUGUGAUGACGAGGCACUACGGUGCUGAAGUGAUAAAUGCCCUGCUUCCAGGAAAAGCCUCUAAGCAUCAGGUAACACGAAAUCGUACCCCAAACCGACACAGGUGGUCAGGUAGAGAAUACCAAGGCGCUUGAGAGAACUCGGGUGAAGGAACUAGGCAAAAUGGUGCCGUAACUUCGGGAGAAGGCACGCUGAUAUGUAGGUGAAGUCCCUGCGGACGGAGCUGAAAUCAGUCGAAGAUACCAGCUGGCUGCAACUGUUUAUUAAAAACACAGCACUGUGCAAACACGAAAGUGGACGUAUACGGUGUGACGCCUGCCCGGUGCCGGAAGGUUAAUUGAUGGGGUUAGCGGCAACGCGAAGCUCUUGAUCGAAGCCCCGGUAAACGGCGGCCGUAACUAUAACGGUCCUAAGGUAGCGAAAUUCCUUGUCGGGUAAGUUCCGACCUGCACGAAUGGCGUAAUGAUGGCCAGGCUGUCUCCACCCGAGACUCAGUGAAAUUGAACUCGCUGUGAAGAUGCAGUGUACCCGCGGCAAGACGGAAAGACCCCGUGAACCUUUACUAUAGCUUGACACUGAACACUGGUCCUUGAUGUGUAGGAUAGGUGGGAGGCUUUGAAGCGUGGACGCCAGUCUGCGUGGAGCCAUCCUUGAAAUACCACCCUUUAAUGGCUGGUGUUCUAACGUAGACCCGUGAUCCGGGUUGCGGACAGUGUCUGGUGGGUAGUUUGACUGGGGCGGUCUCCUCCCAAAGAGUAACGGAGGAGCACGAAGGUUGGCUAAUCCUGGUCGGACAUCAGGAGGUUAGUGCAAUGGCAUAAGCCAGCUUGACUGCGAGCGUGACGGCGCGAGCAGGUGCGAAAGCAGGUCAUAGUGAUCCGGUGGUUCUGAAUGGAAGGGCCAUCGCUCAACGGAUAAAAGGUACUCCGGGGAUAACAGGCUGAUACCGCCCAAGAGUUCAUAUCGACGGCGGUGUUUGGCACCUCGAUGUCGGCUCAUCACAUCCUGGGGCUGAAGUAGGUCCCAAGGGUAUGGCUGUUCGCCAUUUAAAGUGGUACGCGAGCUGGGUUUAGAACGUCGUGAGACAGUUCGGUCCCUAUCUGCCGUGGGCGCUGGAGAAUUGAGGGGGGCUGCUCCUAGUACGAGAGGACCGGAGUGGACGCAUCACUGGUGUUCGGGUUGUCAUGCCAAUGGCACUGCCCGGUAGCUAAAUGCGGAAGAGAUAAGUGCUGAAAGCAUCUAAGCACGAAACUUGCCCCGAGAUGAGUUCUCCCUGAGACUUUAAGUCUCCUGAAGGAACGUUGAAGACGACGACGUUGAUAGGUCGGGUGUGUAAGCGCAGCGAUGCGUUGAGCUAACCGAUACUAAUGAACCGUGAGGCUUAACCUU
rnacentral:rRNA from 1 species